GAUGAACGCUGGCGGCGUGCCUAAUACAUGCAAGUCGAGCGAACGGACGAGAAGCUUGCUUCUCUGAUGUUAGCGGCGGACGGGUGAGUAACACGUGGAUAACCUACCUAUAAGACUGGGAUAACUUCGGGAAACCGGAGCUAAUACCGGAUAAUAUUUUGAACCGCAUGGUUCAAAAGUGAAAGACGGUCUUGCUGUCACUUAUAGAUGGAUCCGCGCUGCAUUAGCUAGUUGGUAAGGUAACGGCUUACCAAGGCAACGAUGCAUAGCCGACCUGAGAGGGUGAUCGGCCACACUGGAACUGAGACACGGUCCAGACUCCUACGGGAGGCAGCAGUAGGGAAUCUUCCGCAAUGGGCGAAAGCCUGACGGAGCAACGCCGCGUGAGUGAUGAAGGUCUUCGGAUCGUAAAACUCUGUUAUUAGGGAAGAACAUAUGUGUAAGUAACUGUGCACAUCUUGACGGUACCUAAUCAGAAAGCCACGGCUAACUACGUGCCAGCAGCCGCGGUAAUACGUAGGUGGCAAGCGUUAUCCGGAAUUAUUGGGUGUAAAGCGCGCGUAGGCGGUUUUUUAAGUCUGAUGUGAAAGCCCACGGCUCAACCGUGGAGGGUCAUUGGAAACUGGAAAACUUGAGUGCAGAAGAGGAAAGUGGAAUUCCAUGUGUAGCGGUGAAAUGCGCAGAGAUAUGGAGGAACACCAGUGGCGAAGGCGACUUUCUGGUCUGUAACUGACGCUGAUGUGCGAAAGCGUGGGGAUCAAACAGGAUUAGAUACCCUGGUAGUCCACGCCGUAAACGAUGAGUGCUAAGUGCUAGGGGGUUUCCGCCCCUUAGUGCUGCAGCUAACGCAUUAAGCACUCCGCCUGGGGAGUACGACCGCAAGGUUGAAACUCAAAGGAAUUGACGGGGACCCGCACAAGCGGUGGAGCAUGUGGUUUAAUUCGAAGCAACGCGAAGAACCUUACCAAAUCUUGACAUCCUUUGACAACUCUAGAGAUAGAGCUUUCCCCUUCGGGGGACAAAGUGACAGGUGGUGCAUGGUUGUCGUCAGCUCGUGUCGUGAGAUGUUGGGUUAAGUCCCGCAACGAGCGCAACCCUUAAGCUUAGUUGCCAUCAUUAAGUUGGGCACUCUAAGUUGACUGCCGGUGACAAACCGGAGGAAGGUGGGGAUGACGUCAAAUCAUCAUGCCCCUUAUGAUUUGGGCUACACACGUGCUACAAUGGACAAUACAAAGGGCAGCGAAACCGUGAGGUCAAGCAAAUCCCAUAAAGUUGUUCUCAGUUCGGAUUGUAGUCUGCAACUCGACUACAUGAAGCUGGAAUCGCUAGUAAUCGUAGAUCAGCAUGCUACGGUGAAUACGUUCCCGGGUCU
rnacentral:rRNA from 1 species